AAAAUUUUAAUACAAAAUGAAUUGGAGGGGGAUAUGGACCAAGAGAGACUAUAGACUCUAGGAAACAAACUGAGGGUUUUAGAAGGGAGGGUGGUAGAGGG